rnacentral:lncRNA from 1 species
AUGGGGUACUUCAAAGGCAGAGGCCUGGGUGGGGCAUUGCAGUCCCCCAACCGCCCCUCCCGCCUGAGAAUAAAAUACCAACUGGAGGAGGGAGACACAGAAGCGUCCUCGGCCCUGAGAGGAUAAGCUGUUUCUGUGAAGGGCAGGUUCAUCUGCUGCCAGCCCAGAGUCAGGCCACCUUAAGCUCCUGCCCUGUCUGAGACUGUGGCUGACAUGUCUCCCCAGGUGAAUAUAAAAAUACCCAAGGGACGGAACUUCAGCAGCGGUUGCUUUUCAUCCUUGAAGUUCACGGGCUGAAACAAGUUAGUAGCCUUUGCAGCCUCUCACGAACCGCCUGGAGAGGAAAGAGAACGCGGGUGUCUUAUCUUCCAUUGAGCUGCAUCUGAUGAAGGUUGCUGACAGCAUAAUGGCUGGGAAAACGUCGGACAGCUCCAUAAAAUGGCAGCUAUGUUAUGAUAUGUCAGCCAGGACCUGGUGGAUGUCUUUCCCCAGAGAGAAUUGGAUGUUCCGAAGCAUGGCCAGGAGACCACAAAAAGCACCUCAAGUUGGUUAACUUUGGCCAAUAUUAUGUUUUAAUUUU